GCGAGUAUCGUAUAGUGGCUAUUAUAUAUGCUUCCCAAGCAUGAGAUGAGGGUUCGAUUCCCUCUACUCGCACCA
rnacentral:tRNA from 3 species